AGCGAACGCUGGCGGCAUGCCUAACACAUGCAAGUCGAACGAGAUCUUCGGGUCUAGUGGCGCACGGGUGCGUAACGCGUGGGAAUCUGCCCUUUGGUUCGGAAUAACAGUUGGAAACGACUGCUAAUACCGGAUGAUGACGAAAGUCCAAAGAUUUAUCGCCAGAGGAUGAGCCCGCGUAGGAUUAGCUAGUUGGUGUGGUAAAGGCGCACCAAGGCGACGAUCCUUAGCUGGUCUGAGAGGAUGAUCAGCCACACUGGGACUGAGACACGGCCCAGACUCCUACGGGAGGCAGCAGUGGGGAAUAUUGGACAAUGGGCGAGAGCCUGAUCCAGCAAUGCCGCGUGAGUGAUGAAGGCCUUAGGGUUGUAAAGCUCUUUUACCCGGGAUGAUAAUGACAGUACCGGGAGAAUAAGCUCCGGCUAACUCCGUGCCAGCAGCCGCCGCAG
rnacentral:rRNA from 1 species